AGAGCUAUUUAUCAAAGCAUAAAUAGUAUCUUAUUGUGGAUCAUGGCAAUAAUUGAAAAGUAACGUUUAGAAGUGAGAAAAAAUCUAUAUGCUUCAUGUAAGCUAAACCGUUCUAAUCUUCGGAAAAGAACAAUUUUUUGCUUGAAAGUUAUAGCUUGCUAUUCUUUAAAAUUGUAUGGAAGUUAUUGCUCUUUGAAGUAAUAAAAGAAAUACAGUGUUUAUAAUGGAACUCAUGUCAAGUUAACAGUAUUACUAGGAUAGAGGUGAAAUUCAAUAACCCUAGUAAGACUACCUAAUGCUAACGCAGUUAACAAGACUGGCUUCAUCAAUCAGGAACUAAAGUUAGAGGAUCGAAGAUGAUUAGAUACCGUUGUAGUUCUAACCGUAAACUAUUUCGACAGAAAAUUGGUAUUAAAUAUUUUUAAAGAUAAUAUCAGAGUUCAAGGGAAACCUUAAGUUUUUGGAAUAUAGGGGGAAUACGAACGCAAGUUUGAAACUUAAAAGAAUUGACGGAAAAGCACCACCAGGUGUGGAUUCUGCGGCUUAAUUCGACUCAACGCGGGGAAACUUGCCAAGUUAGGAUACAAGUAGGAUUGACAGAGUAAAGCUCUUUCUUGAUUUUGUAGUUGGUGGUGCAUGGCCAUUCUUAGUUCGUGGAGUGAUUUGUCUUGUUAAUUCAGAUAACGAGCGAGACCUAAGCCAAUAUUUUUUAUGCUUUUUAUUUUUUUGUAAAAUAGAAUGACAAAAACUUCUAUCUAAAAAUCAGCAAUGAUAAGAUAUGAAGGUUAGUUAUUGGGAUACCUUAUUUUUUAUUACCGUUCAAAGGAAGGUGAAACGUUAGGCAAUAAUAGGUCUGUGAUGCCCUUAGAUAUCUUGGAAUGCACGCGGGAUACAAUAAUUAAGAUAAUAAGUUUAUUUUAAUUUACAUUGUGUUUUUUGCAUUAAUUGUAAGUAAAACCUGUUUCGAAAGGAAUGGGAAAUCUCCAAAUCUUAAUUUUGACAAGGAUUGUCUCUUGUAACAGAGACAUGAAAGAGGAAUACCUAGUAGGCGUGAGUCAACACCUCGCACCGAUUAAGUCCCUGCUUUUUGUACACACCGCCCGUCGCAUCAAGGAACACGAUUGAAGUCAUGAAGCUUACGGAUAGAUUACAUUAGUGAUUUAAAAGUAAACUGAAUGGUUUUUAUCUUACCAUGAUGAAGUCGUAACAAGGUUUUCGUAGGUGAACCUGCGUAAGGAUUAU
rnacentral:rRNA from 15 species